UUGAAAGGGAAACGAUUGAAGUCAGUCAUGCUGGUGGGAAUCAACUUAGGGGAAACUCUAGGUGCACUUCUUCGCUUGGCAGGUUAACGUCGAUCUUGAAUGCCAUAAAAUAAUUGGGGGAAGGUAGCUCCUUCGGGAGUGUUAUAGCCCUUGAUAGAUGUGAUGUUUGGGGUCGAGGAUUGCAACGGAUACCCUUUGGGGCUAGCCGCCUGAUCUCUAAUCGGUGUUGGGUUACGGAUAGCAUGCUGACCGUGAUCUAAUUACUGGUUAAAAGGUUAAGAGCGUGCAUAAAUUCGUUAAGGAUGUUGACGUA
rnacentral:rRNA from 1 species